rnacentral:rRNA from 1 species
GGAUCAAUUUACUGGUCGUGCCUAUGGUACGUACUGGUAUUGUUGGUUCCUCCUUUCUGAGGAGCCGCGAUGUCAUUAACUUGGUGUCGCGGGGAAUCAGGACUGUUACUUUGAAAAAAUUAGAGUGUUUAAAGCAGGCUAACGCUUGAAUACAUUAGCAUGGAAUAAUGAAAUAGGACGUUUGAUCCUAUUUUGUUGGUUUCUAGGAUUGACGUA